rnacentral:tRNA from 2 species
GCCCGGAUGGUGAAAUCGGUAGACACAAGGGAUUUAAAAUCCCUCGGCCUUUGGCUGUGUGGGUUCAAGUCCCACUCCGGGCACCA